rnacentral:miRNA from 1 species
UAAUUAGUAUAAUCACAUCCCAUGCAAUAUUUGAGACAUAAUUAUACUAAAA